AUGAAACUUCUUGUAAUAUGCAUAUUACAUCAUUUAAAUUCAGUGUCAAAACAUGGACAAAUUCAGUUGUCAAAACACCUCAAACAUGGCCAAAUUCAUAUCAGUCCAAAAUUUUCAUGUUUCACAGAAGUUUACAAUUUUUGUGGCCUCUUGAUACAAUUUUUUUAUCAAGAACUAUCAAUUUUACAUCCAUUUAACUCCAUUGGUGGUGGAACAGGAGGAGCAGUAGCAGCACAAGGAGCAACUCCUUAUAGUACAAUUUUGGAGUACUCUUGGUGUAAAUCAACUUCACUAAUUUUCAGGUUCAGAUGA
rnacentral:rRNA from 1 species